rnacentral:misc_RNA from 1 species
GAUGAAAACGCAGCGAAAUGCGAUAAGUAAUGUGAAUUGCAGAAUUCAGUGAAUCAUCGAGUCUUUGAACGCACAUUGCGCCCCCUGGUAUUCCGGGGGGCAUGCCUGUCCGAGCGUCAUUGCUGCCCUCAAGCACGGCUUGUGUGUUGGGCCGUCGUCCCCCUCCUAGGGGACGGGCCCGAAAGGCAGCGGCGGCACCGCGUCCGGUCCUCGAGCGUAUGGGGCUUCGUCACCCGCUCCGUAGGCCCGGCCGGCGCUUGCCGACGACCAUCAAUCUCUUUCUCCAGGUUGACCUCGGAUCAGGUAGGGAUACCCGCUGAACUUAAGCAUAUCAAUAAGCGGAGGA